CGGCACUGGGAGCAGUGGUUGUGGGUUGUGAUGGAGCCGGGCCCGUCGGCUGGGGCCUGGCCCGGCCCUGCCCACUCCCGCCGCGGAAGGUUGUUGGGGUUUCUCGGGAGAUGGCGCUGCUGGGACGGAGAGGGGCCCGAGUGCUCGCCCUUCCACUCCACGUGGCUGAGCCAGGCUCCUUUUGCAGAUUUCAUCUGAUUGACAAGUUUUGAUAAAUCAUGGAAGUUUGCCAGCUGGUGUCCAGUUGAAGUGUUGCACUGCAAGGACUAAUUUAAGCACUGCAGAAGUAAGGAAUUAUUUCACAGAGCUGUCUGUUGAGUGGAUCAUCAUUAAACAUCCUUCAAUGUUGGCAAAGGAACUACUGAAGGCUCCAGAAUGGAUAUGCUGGAAACUUGUUCUUGGCUCACAACCCCAGAUGCUUGAAAUGUUGUUUAUGACUUGUGCAUCCCUAACACUUUCUGCUUCCCUUCUGUUCAAUGUAAUAUGAAAUUAUUGAAAUUUAUUGUUUUUUUGAAAGGGUGGCACAGUAGCAUAGCGCUUAGCACAAUGCUAUUACAGUGCCAGCGAUCAGGGUUUGAUUCCUCUCGCUGUCUGUAAGGAGUUUGUACAUUCUCCUGUGUCUGUGUGGGUUUCCUCUGGGUGCUCCAGUUUCCUCCCAUAUUCCAAAGACAUGGGUAGGUUAAUUUGGGUUUAAAAUGGGUGGCAUGGGCUCAUUGGGCCAGAAGGGCUGGUUACCAUGCUGUAAAUAAAAUUUUUUUAA